GAAAUACAAAGGAUCAUAAGAGACUACUAGCAGCAACUAUAUGCCUAUAAAAUGGACAAUUUGGAAGAAAUGGACAAAUUUUUGGAAAAGUAUAACCUUUCAAAACUGAACCAGGAAGAAAUAGAACAUCUUAACAGACCCAUCACAA